rnacentral:rRNA from 1 species
GACGAACGCUGGCGGCGUGCUUAACACAUGCAAGUCGAACGGUGAAGCGCCUUCCUUUUUGGUGGGUGUGGAUGAGUGGCGAACGGGUGAGUAACACGUGAGUAACCUGCCCCCUUCUUCUGGAUAACCGCAUGAAAGUGUGGCUAAUACGGGAUAUUCUGGGUCUGUCGCAUGAUGGGUCUGGGAAAGAUAUUGUUUCGGUGGGGGAUGGGCUCGCGGCCUAUCAGCUUGUUGGUGGGGUGAUGGCCUACCAAGGCGGUGACGGGUAGCCGGCCUGAGAGGGUGGACGGUCACACUGGGACUGCGACACGGCCCAGACUCCUACGGGGGGCAGCAGUGGGGAAUAUUGCACAAUGGGCGCAAGCCUGAUGCAGCGACGCCGCGGGAGGGAUGGAGGCCUGCGGGUUGUGAACCUCUUUCGCCAGUGAAGCAGGCCUGCCUCGUUUGUGGGUGGGUUGACGGUAGCUGGAUAAGAAGCGCCGGCUAACUACGUG